rnacentral:misc_RNA from 1 species
GAUGAAGAACGCAGCGAAAUGCGAUAAAUAAUGUGAAUUGCAGAAUUCAGUGAAUCAUCGAGUCUUUGAACGCACAUUGCGCCCCCUGGUAUUCCGGGGGGCAUGCCUGUCCGAGCGUCAUUGCUGCCCUCAAGCACGGCUUGUGUGUUGGGCCCCCGUCCCCCCCUCCCGGGGGACGGGCCCGAAAGGCAGCGGCGGCACCGCGUCCGGUCCUCGAGCGUAUGGGGCUUUGUCACCCGCUCUGUAGGCCCGGCCGGCGCCUGCCGACCACCAUCAAUCUUUUUUCAGGUUGACCUCGGAUCAGGUAGGGAUACCCGCUGAACUUAAGCAUAUCAAAAGCGGAGGA